AUUUUGGGGGAGAUUUGGGGGAUUUUGAGAAGGGAUUUGGGGCAGAUUUUGGGGUUUUUUUGGGGGUGGAACUUUGUGGGAAUUUGGGCUCAUUUUGGGGUCGUUUGGGGAAUUCUGGGAAUUUCGGGCGAAUUUUGGGAAUUUUUUUUUGGGGGGGGUGUCCUUAACCCUUUCCCCCCCUCCCCAGACGAAUCCUGCCGUCGGUAACCCCGGCCCAUCCCCCACCCCCCCGGGUUUUAACCCCCCAUCACCCCCAAGGCUCCUCCAUCCCCAAAUUUCCCCCAUGGGGGAGGGGGAUUAUCCCCAUCCACCCCCCAUUUUUAACCCUUUCCCCCCAUUUUUCCCUCCCCAUCACCCCCAAGGCUCCUCCAACCCCAAACUUCACUCUGGGGGAGGGGAUUAUCCCCAUCCCCCCCCAUUUUUAACCCUUUCCCCCCCAUUUUUCUCUCCCCAUCCCCCCCAAGGCUCCUCCAACCCCAAAUUUCCCCCAUGGGGAGGUGGGGGGGUUGAAUUCCCAGCUCUCCCACCCAUUUUUAACCCUUUCCUUCUCCUCCCCAUCACCCCCAAGGCUCCUCCAUCCCCAAACUUCACUCUGGGGGAGGGGAUUAUCCCAAUUCCCCCCCCAUUUUUAACCCUUUCCCCCCCAUUUUUCCCCUCCCCACAGCGCCCAGGAGCUCUCCCAAGAAGUCAAAGCCUUCCUGAGCGGUCUGGACCCCAUCCAGGGCACUCCCCUGUCCCCCGCCGCCCACGCCCGCUGCGCCCUGCGCCUGCUGCGCUGCCUCCCCCCCGCCCGCCACGCCGCCCUGCAGCACCUGCGCAGCCUCUUCGACGAGCAGGUCUGCUCCCACCUCCUGCAGCGCGACUCCUCCUCUCCCCCGGCCCCCAAACCCUGCCCGGGCGCCGAGGUCCUGCAGGAGGUUCGCCGCUCCCUGACCGAGCUGGUGGCCGCCAACCCCCGGGCGUGGGCUCCCGGCGUGGCGGCGUGGGCCAGCGAGCUGAUGGGGCAGCUGAGCAGCAAAUACGCCGGGAGGCCCGGGGUGCCGCCGGCCAGCAGCCUCAACGAGCUGCUGCAGCUCUGGAUGUCGUGCCCGGCCACCAGAGCGCUGCUGGACAUCUACAGCCAGUGCCUGGCCGCCAUGGUGGGCAGCUGCCCCGACGCCUGCGUGGACGCGCUGCUGGACACGUCGGUGCAGCACUCGCCGCAUUUCGACUGGGUGGUGGCUCACGUGGGCUCCUCCUUCCCCGGCACCAUCAUCAGCCGCGUGCUGUCCUGCGGCCUCAAGGAUUUCUGCGCUCACGG
rnacentral:lncRNA from 1 species